rnacentral:tRNA from 1 species
UGGUCUGUGGCUUAGUUGGUUAAAGCGCCGGAAUAUCGAUACGAAGUCGUAGGCCCGAAUCCCACCAAAACAA